rnacentral:tRNA from 1 species
GCCUCUGUGGUGAAACGGCAGACACGCUUGGUUUAAGCCCAAGUGAGCUUCGGCUCGUGCAGGUUCGACUCCUGUCAGAGGUA